rnacentral:rRNA from 1 species
GAUGAACGCUGGCGGCACGCUUAACACAUGCAAGUCGAACGAUUAGAGCACCUUCGGGUGUGUAUAGAGUGGCGAACGGCUGAGUAACACGUGGGCAACCUGCCCUUCAGUUCGGAAUAGCUACGGGAAACCGUGGGUAAUACCGGAUGAUCCACUUCCCUCGCAUGAAGGAGGUGGCAAAGAUUUAUCGCUGAAGGAUGGGCCCGCGGCCUGUUAGCUUGUUGGUGAGGUAACGGCUCACCAAGGCAGUAAUGGGUAGCCGGGUUGAGAGACCGACCGGCCAGAUUGGGACUGAGACACGGCCCAGACUCCUACGGGAGGCAGCAGUGGGGAAUCUUGCGCAAUGGGCGAAAGCCUGACGCAGCGAUGCCGCGUGCGGGAUGAAGGCCUUCGGGUCGUAAACCGCUUUCAGCAGGGACGAGGCCGCAAGGUGACGUACCUGCAGAAAGAAGC